GCUUAGUUAUUCCACUAUUCUCAAAAGUCCAAAUAAGCUGUUGUUACAAUUCCAGGUCAGCGCGUAACAUAACGUGGGACCCUUUUGGUGAACCUAGCUCAAAUAUUAACCCAGCCGCUUUGUGCAAACUAACGAGAAAUUGCUAGUUCUGGGAGUGGUUCCAAACGUCGUAAUUAAGGAGUCGUGAAUUUGACAUUUGGAGCUGCACUGUAUCAGCUGGUGGGGUUCGAUGUCAAACUGGAGACCCUCUCCACUCUCAUCUGGCAGAGACUCUACUGGCAGGACCAGUUCAUCCAGUGGGAUCCAGCAGAUUAUGAGGGCAUCGAGGUAAUCAGAGUAGCCCAGGCGUUUAUCUGGACCCCUGACUUGCUUCCUUACAACGACAUUGGAGUGUAUGACUCGAUCAAGUAUGCCAAGACUGUUCCUCUCUCUGUCACCCACGCUGGCUCUGUCACCUGGCUCAACCCCAUAGGACCCAUUAUACUCAAGCACACA